rnacentral:rRNA from 1 species
UACGGGAGGGGGCUAGCGUUGUUCGGAAUUACUGGGCGUAAAGCGCGCGUAGGCGGACCUGCAAGUCGGGGGUGGAAAGCCCUGGGCUCAACCCAGGAAGUGCUUUGAUACUGCAGAGCUUGAAUGUGGGAGAGGGUAGUGGAAUUCCUGGUGUAGCGGUGAAAUGCGCAGAUAUCAGGAGGAACACCAACGGCGAAGGCAGCACUCUGGGCCGGUACUGACGCUGAGGAGCGAAAGCGUGGGGAGCAAACAGG